rnacentral:rRNA from 2 species
GAACUGAAGAGUUUGAUCAUGGCUCAGAUUGAACGCUGGCGGCAGGCCUAACACAUGCAAGUCGAGCGGAUGAAGUGAGCUUGCUCACGGAUUUAGCGGCGGACGGGUGAGUAAUGCCUAGGAAUCUGCCUGGUAGUGGGGGAUAACGUUUCGAAAGGGACGCUAAUACCGCAUACGUCCUACGGGAGAAAGCAGGGGACCUUCGGGCCUUGCGCUAUCAGAUGAGCCUAGGUCGGAUUAGCUAGUUGGUGAGGUAAUGGCUCACCAAGGCGACGAUCCGUAACUGGUCUGAGAGGAUGAUCAGUCACACUGGAACUGAGACACGGUCCAGACUCCUACGGGAGGCAGCAGUGGGGAAUAUUGGACAAUGGGCGAAAGCCUGAUCCAGCCAUGCCGCGUGUGUGAAGAAGGUCUUCGGAUUGUAAAGCACUUUAAGU